UUUCAUAUUAAAAUAAAUAAAUAUAUUGGAGCUUUGUAUUUUCUUUAUUCUCAACAUACUUAAAGCAUGAAAGCCCACAUCUGAAUGUCAGCUCCAUUGUUAAUACCGUCAUAAAGGUAUUGUGACAGUUGUGAUACUUGUGUUUUGUAUUUUAAUACAGUGCUAUGAUACAAAUUAAUAUAUAAAUGUAGAAUUUCAAACCAAAAGUCUGCAUCAUGUCAACUUGUAUGUCUGAUAGUGGUUGAGUGGAUUGAGAAGGAAUGUAACACAUCUAGACAGACAAAAUACAAAGCAGUUCUCCUGCUCCAGCACUACCUGUCAUUCCGUUAUCUUCCUCUAUCCUUUCUAAGAUGUUAAAAACAUCCUGAAGUUCUGAUGUUGAAAACUCACAUCCUGUCUACCAUGAGAGAUGAGGGAGGGGACACACCAAAAAAACAGAACCACCAAGAAAGGAAUUUUGAGGUUGCUGGGGGUGUGCGAGAGAGAAGUGGGCAGAAACCAAGCAAUGUUUCCCUUGUGCACUCUCACAGCUGAGCUUCUGACCCAGAAGUCCCUAUCACCCACAUUCUCUGUUCUACAGCCCUUGAUUAGAAGUCACCUGCUUUCACUAUACACGGCCUGUGCUGAUCAAGGACUUCCAGGUGAGAUGGUGAAACCCAAGAACAGCACUCCACAGGCAGUUGCAGAGAGGUAAGUAGGUACUAGGUUGUGUUCUGUUGACUACAGUCUUUUCUCCUUCUAAGUACAGAGAAGCCAGCUCAGACACGCUGCCAGAACUGAAGCCUCUCUUUAACAGUGUUAGAGAACAUUCACUUGUGACCCUGAAUGAUUCCCACCUACCCUGAGAGCUGCAUCUCGAACAUUCAUGCAUGGAGACUGCAGGGCCUGAAGCAGCACAUCGAUCUCCUCCUGUUCUGCAUAGGCACAGCCAUCCUCCCCGCUGCUGCUUGCACACAGGGCGGUCAGUGCAUUGGAAGCCAAAACCUAAAAUGCCAUGAGGA